rnacentral:pre_miRNA from 1 species
AGGCAGUGUAUUGUUAGUUAGCUGUUCUUCAUACACCAGCAACUGACUACACUGCCACA